rnacentral:tRNA from 1 species
GCCCGGUUAGCUCAGUCGGUAGAGCGUGGGACUUUUUAUCCUAAGAUCAAGGGUUCAACCCCCUUAGCAGGCG